rnacentral:rRNA from 1 species
UGGGGAAUAUUGCACAAUGGGCGCAAGCCUGAUGCAGCCAUGCCGCGUGUGUGAAGAAGGCCUUCGGGUUGUAAAGCACUUUCAUCGGGGAGGAAGGCGGUGAGGUUAAUAACCUCAUCGAUUGACGUUACCCGCAGAAGAAGCACCGGCUAACUCCGUGCCAGCAGCCGCGGUAAUACGGAGGGUGCAAGCGUUAAUCGGAAUUACUGGGCGUAAAGCGCACGCAGGCGGUUUGUUAAGUCAGCUGUGAAAUCCCAGGGCGCAAGCUGGGAACUGAAUCUGACACUGGCAAGCUGGAGUCUAGCAGAGGGGGGUAGAAUUCCAGGUGGAGCGGUGAAAUGCAUAGAGAACGGGAGGAAUACCGGUGGCGAAAGCGGCACCCUGGACGAAGACAGACGCUAAGGUGCGAAAGCGUGGGGAGCAAACAGG